GAUGAACGCUGGCGGCGUGCCUAAUACAUGCAAGUAGAACGCUGAAGCUUGGUGCUUGCACCGAGCGGAUGAGUUGCGAACGGGUGAGUAACGCGUAGGUAACCUGCCUCUUAGCGGGGGAUAACUAUUGGAAACGAUAGCUAAUACCGCAUAAAAGACGAUAUCGCAUGAUAUUGAUUUGAAAGGUGCAAUUGCAUCACUAAGAGAUGGACCUGCGUUGUAUUAGCUAGUUGGUGAGGUAACGGCUCACCAAGGCGACGAUACAUAGCCGACCUGAGAGGGUGAUCGGCCACACUGGGACUGAGACACGGCCCAGACUCCUACGGGAGGCAGCAGUAGGGAAUCUUCGGCAAUGGGGGCAACCCUGACCGAGCAACGCCGCGUGAGUGAAGAAGGUUUUCGGAUCGUAAAGCUCUGUUGUAAGAGAAGAACGAGUGUGAGAGUGGAAAGUUCACACUGUGACGGUAACUUACCAGAAAGGGACGGCUAACUACGUGCCAGCAGCCGCGGUAAUACGUAGGUCCCGAGCGUUAUCCGGAUUUAUUGGGCGUAAAGCGAGCGUAGGCGGUUAGAUAAGUCUGAAGUUAAAGGCUGUGGCUUAACCAUAGUACGCUUUGGAAACUGUUUAACUUGAGUGCAGAAGGGGAGAGUGGAAUUCCAUGUGUAGCGGUGAAAUGCGUAGAUAUAUGGAGGAACACCGGUGGCGAAAGCGGCUCUCUGGUCUGUAACUGACGCUGAGGCUCGAAAGCGUGGGGGGCAAACAGG
rnacentral:rRNA from 1 species